UGCAGCGUCCGGCCACUGGGUCCGGGCGCCUCUCCGGCUCUGUGCCGCCCAGCCGGCGGUAGGAACCUCCACUGGCAAAUGGAUGUCACUCUCCGGUUUCAAAGCAGAAAGCGGCGUGCGUGAAAGUGGAGCUAAAGCUUGGACACAGCUUUGGAGUCCACCAAUUUGAAGAUGCCUUUCUCUCGCUGGGUCCACUUGAUGUACUUGGGACAGGUGUUUCUGUCUUGCAGCAGUGCCAGGAGGAACUCCCACAGGUUCCAUGGGGAAGGAGGAGAAGAAGAAUUUCCCUCAGGGAACGGUUCAGCUAUAAUCAAGGUCAGCCCAUGCCAAUGGAGUGGUAAGAGGAGGAGACACAGGGAUUCCAUAGGGUCUUCGGGAAGGGACCAGCACCUCCUGCCCUAAUUGCCCACCCCUCAAUGGCUCUCCACUCCACCUCAUCUAAAUGGUUCCCUAUUCUGUGAAGCAGCAGUACCUUUCAUUGGGCCCAUUUUGUAUGGGGUUACUUGCGGCCAUCAUGGACUGCUGUUUCCUGAAGACAGAACUCUUUUCUUCACCAUACUUCCCUGCCCAGAAAGGGAACACACCUGCCAGCAGAAAACUGCCCUCCAGGAUCUGAUCCUGUGUCAUGCACAAGGUCCCGUCUGUUAUG